rnacentral:rRNA from 1 species
AUACGGAGGGUCCAAGCGUUGUCCGGAAUCAUUGGGUUUAAAGGGUCCGCAGGCGGUCAAUUAAGUCAGAGGUGAAAGCCCAUCGCUCAACGAUGGAACUGCCUUUGAUACUGGUUGACUUGAGUUAUACGGAAGUAGAUAGAAUAAGUAGUGUAGCGGUGAAAUGCAUAGAUAUUACUUAGAAUACCGAUUGCGAAGGCAGUCUACUACGUAUAUACUGACGCUGAGGGACGAAAGCGUGGGGAGCGAACAGGAUUAGAAACCCGAGUAGUCC